rnacentral:rRNA from 1 species
AGAGUUUGAUCAUGGCUCAGAACGAACGCUGGCGGCAUGCCUAACACAUGCAAGUCGAACGAGACCUUCGGGUCUAGUGGCGCACGGGUGCGUAACGCGUGGGAAUCUGCCCUGGUUCGGAAUAACAGUUAGAAAUGACUGCUAAUACCGGAUAAUGUCUUCGGACCAAAAGAUUUAUCGCCCAGGGAUGAGCCCGCGUAGGAUUAGCUAGUUGGUGAGGUAAAGGCUCACCAAGGCGACGAUCCUUAGCUGGUCUGAGAGGAUGAUCAGCCACACUGGGACUGAGACACGGCCCAGACUCCUACGGGAGGCAGCAGUGGGGAAUAUUGGACAAUGGGCGAAAGCCUGAUCCAGCAAUGCCGCGUGAGUGAUGAAGGCCUUAGGGUUGUAAAGCUCUUUUACCCGGGAUGAUAAUGACAGUACCGGGAGAAUAAGCCCCGGCUAACUCCGUG